GACGUUACCUACAGAAGAAGCACCGGCUAACUCCGUGCCAGCAGCCGCGGUAAUACGGAGGGUGCGAGCGUUAAUCGGAAUUACUGGGCGUAAAGCGCAUGCAGGCGGCCUGUUAAGUCAGAUGUGAAAGACCCGGGGCGUUAACCUCGGAAUUGCAUUUGAAACUGGCAGGCUAGAGUCUUGUAGAGGGGGGUAGGAAGUUUCAGGUGUAGCGGUGAAAUAGCGUAGAGAUCUGAAGGAAUACCAGUGGCGAAGGCGGCCCCCUCGGACAAAGACUGACGCUCAGAUGCGAAAGCGUGGGGAGCAAACAGGAUUAGAUACCCUGGUAG
rnacentral:rRNA from 1 species